AAACGCUUUAUUAUAGACUAGAAAUGUGUGGAAUUUUAGUCAGUCUGUUUCAUUCAUCUGGAUGCUCAUUUGUUAACUUACCCACUUAUCCAUUCUUCAGUCGGAUGAUUAUAACUUUGUACUGUGUGCCCCAUGUCGAUUUGGGCAUGAGAGGUGACUAUAGUAUAUUUCCUACAUCUAAGAUCUAGAGACUCAGUCUGAAGAAAACAUGACUAUGGAAUCCAGUAAAGAAGUAACUCGUGGAGGGGAACACAGGGGGUUGCUUAACAUCUGAGCAACAGUUCUUCAUGGGUCAAGGAAGAAAUAGUUUGGGAAGAGAUAAAUGUUUGCAGGUGACCUUGGCAGUGGAUAUGCACUGAGUGCAGAAUGCAGUGCUGGAAAACAGGUUUUGACAGAGAUGGUAGCCAGGAGCAGAGAUGGGAGGAGCCAGAUGCUAUGGAAUCCUGUUAUCUGAAGCUCUGGACAUACUAGGGGGGGUUUAGAUAGAAGACUAGAAAAGAAAAUCAAAAUGCAUCCAUGAAUGUCUUUGUGCAAUAUUUUCAAAAGGUCACUGCUAGCUUUUCAGAUAUUCCAUCCAUAUACUAGUUAAUGACAUUAUUUAAUGCUAUAAUAAAUAACUGGGGCUUUAAGUAGCUUGAUAUGAGUCCUUCUAUUUCCUCUAACAAUCCAAAAUUGGUCACACUCCUGUGCUUGCAUAUGGUUUGAUGGAACUGGAAUUUCUGAGGCUGUUUAUCAUUUAAAACAAGCAUUGCAAAAUCCAGCAAUACACUCUCUUCUUUUUAAAAUUCGCAACGAUACCUGAUUUACUGGAAGACCAAUGCCGCGUUAUUAUGAUGGGGCUUAAGAUGGUUUCUGCUUUCAAAGUAGCUAGUGACACUAAAUUAUUGUAUCGUCACUUUGUGAAAUCGCAGACACCAUAUUUUGUUGUUAGAAAAUGACGAAUGCUGUGCCGACAGCUUUCCUGUUUAUUAAGCUACCCUGAGCCACACUGGAAUGCAUCUUGUUAACUUUCCCAAUAGAAAGAAUAAGGAUGAUGGUUUGUAUUUAAGAGAAUGUGGCGGUCGCAAACGUUAUAGAGCUAAAGGUUUUUGGCAUCAUCUAGGUUAGCCACCUGUUCUCUCCUCCAUUUGCUGAAUAAAUUAGAAGCUCCUGGGAGAGUGUGUGGAGCUGACUGGCCUGCCUCGUUGCCAAGGCAACCAUUUUUCUCUCUGCUCUAUGACUCUGAAAGGGUUCAUAACCCAUUAGUGCUCCUCUGGGUAAGAAUAUGAGACCAUUUCUUUUUUUUUUUUCUCCCUUCCUUCUUUACUCCUUUUCCUGGUCAAGAUAAUGUGAGCAGUAAAUGCUCUUACCAUAUAUGUAUAUUCCAAUGCUGCACUUCCCAAUUUCCUGGGGAAUUGGGGUGUAAAUCUUAAAGGCACAUGACAGCUAAGUGGAGAGAUGCAUAUAAUAAUG
rnacentral:lncRNA from 1 species